GGGGUGAAGAUAAAAUGGAUUAGCGGCGGACGGGUGAGUAACACGUGAGUAACCUGCCUUAGACAUUGGGAUAGCCUCGGGAAACCGGGAUUAAUACCGAAUAAAAUCACAGAUACACAUGUAUCCAUGAUCAAAACUCCGGUGGUCUAAGAUGGACUCGCGUCCCAUUAGCUAGUUGGUGAGGUAACGGCCCACCAAGGCGACGAUGGGUAGCCGGCCUGAGAGGGUGAACGGCCACAUUGGAACUGAGAAACGGUCCAAACUCCUACGGGAGGCAGCAGUGGGGAAUAUUGCACAAUGGAGGGAACUCUGAUGCAGCGACGCCGCGUGAACGAAGAAGGCUUUCGAGUCGUAAAGUUCUUUUAUAUGGGAAGAUAAUGACGGUACCAUAAGAAAAAGCCCCGGCUAACUACGUGCCAGCAGCCGCGGUAAUACGUAGGGGGCUAGCGUUGUCCGGAAUCACUGGGCGUAAAGGGUUCGCAGGCGGAAAUGCAAGUCAGAUGUAAAAGGCAGUAGCUUAACUACUGUAAGCAUUUGAAACUGCAUAUCUUGAGAAGAGUAGAGGUAAGUGGAAUUUUUAGUGUAGCGGUGAAAUGCGUAGAUAUUAAAAAGAAUACCGGUGGCGAAGGCGACUUACUGGGCUCAUUCUGACGCUGAGGAACGAAAGCGUGGGUAGCAAACAGGAUUAGAUACCCUGGUAGUCCACGCUGUAAACGAUGAGUGCUAGGUGUCGGCUUAAGUCGGUGCCGCAGUUAACACAAUAAGCACUCCGCCUGGGGAGUACGUGCGCAAGCAUGAAACUCAAAGGAAUUGACGGGGACCCGCACAAGCAGCGGAGCAUGUGGUUUAAUUCGAAGCAACGCGAAGAACCUUACCAGGCUUGACAUACUGAGGACCGGU
rnacentral:rRNA from 1 species